GGUUGGACGAGGAGAGUACUUUUAAAGCAAAAACGAUAAAAUUGGAUAAAUUGAAGGCGACAGGAAAGAAAAGUUCAUUGCAUUAUUUUGGAACUCGAAAUAUUCUCUUGGUUAGUUUCAAUUAAUCAUUUUAUGCUGACGUUAACGGAGUGAAUACUUCAGAAAUGAUGUUAUCAGAGAUUCAUGGAAGAGGCAAGUCGAGCAAAAGAAUCUCUCCAACUAAAAGUGGAUGCUGGAAAUAAUUGAAUUAAAGUAUUUUAAGAUUUGGAAAAAGGAGGUGCCAGCAGGACCAUUUGCAUGAGCCCGUUAUAGCUUCAUGGGGCCCCGUGUACAAUGUUGACUUCAGUUAUUUUUCUCCGAGGGAAAUAUAUAAAAGAUUGGUUUGAGAGCCCUGUUGGUGGGGGCCCCCAAACAGGGUAAAAAGGGUAAAAUCCUAUGGGUAAAAAGGAAAAUUGCCUAAAGUUCCUUCUUACCCAUAGGAUAACGGCCGACCAGAUACAGAGGAUCCCCAAAAUUUAGUCUUUUAUAUAAAAAAAAAUAUCAAAAACGUCCAUAAAGUUUUUUUAGAUAAUAAUAAAAAUGCUUUUAUUGAUUUUAUUGAUAUAUUUUUAUGGCUUUCAGAGAUAGAUAGGGCCCCAUACUAGGGAUUUGAAGCGAGCCCCAUCUUUCAUCUUAGUGUCUAGUAAUCUAAUUUAUUUAAUAAUUUAAAAUUAAAAUUAAAAAAACAA